rnacentral:rRNA from 1 species
GAUCAUGGCUCAGGAUGAACGCUAGCUACAGGCUUAACACAUGCAAGUCGAGGGGAAACGACAGUCGAAAGCUUGCUUUUGAUGGGCGUCGACCGGCGCACGGGUGAGUAACGCGUAUCCAACCUGCCCACCACUUGGGGAUUAACCUUGCGAAAGUAAGACUAAUACCCAAUGAUAUCCCACGAAGGCAUCCGAAUGGGAUUAAAGAUUUAUCGGUGAUGGAUGGGGAUGCGUCUGAUUAGCUUGUUGGCGGGGUAACGGCCCACCAAGGCAACGAUCAGUAGGGGUUCUGAGAGGAAGGUCCCCCCACAUUGGAACUGAGACACGGUCCAAACUCCUACGGGAGGCAGCAGUGAGGAAUAUUGGUCAAUGGGCGAGAGCCUGAACCAGCCAAGUAGCGUGCAGGAUGACGGCCCUAUGGGUUGUAAACUGCUUUUAUAGGGGAAUAAAGUGAGCCACGUGUGGUUUUUUGCAUGUACCCUAUGAAUAAGGACCGGCUAAUUCCGUG